CUUAAAAGGAAUGGGCUUGUGCUAAAGGAAAUACUCUUUGAGCUGCUGAACACUUUAGUGUUCAGCCCCUUAACCUAAGGAGGAGCUACACAAAUGAAGAACUGUGGAACUGACCUCAGAUGCUCUCUCGUUGGAAAUUGGCACGCAAACCACAACCACGAUGGCGGCUUCUGAGAGGUGGAGGAGAGGGGUGUGGCAAAGCAGCAAGGAAGGGGGUCUGGGGUCCAGCCCAGCUGGGACAGUGAAGGUUCCCUGUUCAAGGGGACUCUGUUCCUUGGACAAUGAUUGCUUCCUUUAUGCUCUGGAGUCCAGCAGAGACUGACACACAGUUGGGGCUAAACACGUCUGAGGGUGAUGAAACUCCCAUUUCUGACGCCGUCAACUUGUUUUCUGUAAUGUUAGCCCUGCCAUAUUCCAGCUCGACAGAGCUUGGGCAGCCCGAGGUGGUGACUGUAUUUGGCCAUCAGCCAUGUCCCUUGCAGGGCCAGUCUCUGAGGUGCCAUGAGACCUUCUGUGCCUGGCAAGCCGGGGCACUUCGGAGAAUGGCAGCUGCCUGGUUUCUCAGGGGAGCAACUACAUUCCUAAGUCGCUUGGGGAUCGCUUGACUUCCCUCAUUCAUUCACCCAUCCUUCCAUCCAUCUAUUCCUUCAUCCAGCAAAUUGGACCCCUUCCGUGUGCCAGACACUGUUCUGAGCAGAAGCACCUGCCCUUGAGGAAGUGACACUCCAGUGGGGAGAGACAAGUAAGCUCACAAAGAUCUAUCUGCAAAAUCAAAUUCCAGGUAGUGAUCAGUGCCACGAACAAAAAUAAAAAUGAAUAAAGAGAUGUAAAAUGAUUUCCUUCCCCAAGGGCAGAGGAUUCUUUCUAGCAGGUUAUUUGGAAAAGUUCCCUCUGAAGAGGUGACAUUUGAUCAUUGUUAAAGUCACAUGCAUCAUUGUGAACAUUUCACAAAACACAGAAGAACCUAAUGCUUUCGCACAAACCAUCAUCUAGAAAUCACACCAUCUCAACAUCUUGUCGUUUAAAAAUUGAUAUAUAAUAAUGGUACAUAUUUCUGGGGUCCCUGUGAUAUUUUGAUACAUGCAGACAAUGUGUAAUGAUCAAAUCAGGGUAAUUAGGCUAUCCAUCACUUCAAACAUGUAUCAUUUCUUUGCCAAUGCCUUGUCUUUUGUCGUCUUAAAGUACAGAUUUGCAUCAUGCUUUUUAAAAUUUAACAUUACACUAUAAUUAUUUUGUAGCUGUGUUUAUGUUUUUCUGUUUUCAAGUAUCAAUAUAUAGUAUGGAUUUUUAAAAAAUUGGUACUGUAAAUGUACAUGAAGUUUUUCUGUCUUUACAAAAGAAGUGCAUAUUGUUGUAUGAAUUCUAGAAAAUCAAGAUAAGGAAGAAAAUUAAAAUCCUUCAUAAUCCUACUCAUUGAGCAUACUGGUCUAUGUCUUUCCCAUUUUUUCCUUCCUUAUAAACAUGGAAAGACAUCAUACCUAGAGCAUGUUCAGUUUGUGUCUGGCUUUUUCAUAAUCAUACUUUAAAACUGGAAAGCUGGUGUGUGCAAGUGGCAGGGGGAGCUUACCUCACAGGACACAGCAGCAGAACCCAUGGGCUUUGGCCCACUCUGCC
rnacentral:lncRNA from 1 species